UACGGGGGGGGCAAGCGUUGUUCGGAAUUACUGGGCGUAAAGGGCUCGUAGGCGGCCAACUAAGUCGGAUGUGAAAUCCCCGGGCUCAACCUGGGAACUGCAUUUGUGACUGCACGGCUGGAGUGCGGCAGAGGGGGAUGGAAUUCCGCGUGUAGCAGUGAAAUGCGUAGAUAUGCGGAGGAACACCGAUGGCGAAGGCAAUCCCCUGGGCCUGCACUGACGCUCAUGCACGAAAGCGUGGGGAGCAAACAGG
rnacentral:rRNA from 1 species